rnacentral:rRNA from 2 species
GGGUUUCGGCUCGUAAAGCUCUGUUGUUAAAGAAGAACACGUAUGAGAGUAACUGUUCAUACGUUGACGGUAUUUAACCAGAAAGUCACGGCUAACUACGUGCCAGCAGCCGCGGUAAUACGUAGGUGGCAAGCGUUAUCCGGAUUUAUUGGGCGUAAAGAGAGUGCAGGCGGUUUUCUAAGUCUGAUGUGAAAGCCUUCGGCUUAACCGGAGAAGUGCAUCGGAAACUGGAUAACUUGAGUGCAGAAGAGGGUAGUGGAACUCCAUGUGUAGCGGUGGAAUGCGUAGAUAUAUGGAAGAACACCAGUGGCGAAGGCGGCUACCUGGUCUGCAACUGACGCUGAGACUCGAAAGCAUGGGUAGCGAACAGGAUUAGAUACCCUGGUAGUCCAUGCCGUAAACGAUGAGUGCUAGGUGUUGGAGGGUUUCCGCCCUUCAGUGCCGGAGCUAACGCAUUAAGCACUCCGCCUGGGGAGUACGACCGCAAGGUUGAAACUCAAAGGAAUUGACGGGGGCCCGCACAAGCGGUGGAGCAUGUGGUUUAAUUCGAAGCUACGCGAAGAACCUUACCAGGUCUUGACAUCUUGCGCCAACCCUAGAGAUAGGGCGUUUCCUUCGGGAACGCAAUGACAGGUGGUGCAUGGUCGUCGUCAGCUCGUGUCGUGAGAUGUUGGGUUAAGUCCCGCAACGAGCGCAACCCUUGUUACUAGUUGCCAGCAUUAAGUUGGGCACUCUAGUGAGACUGCCGGUGACAAACCGGAGGAAGGUGGGGACGACGUCAGAUCAUCAUGCCCCUUAUGACCUGGCUACACACGUGCUACAAUGGACGGUACAACGAGUCGCGAACUCGCGAGGGCA